GGGAGAACCCUACCUUAGUGGAUGGAGCCUAUUUAGUAACAUCACUGGGUAAGGUUCGCCCCCG
rnacentral:pre_miRNA from 1 species